rnacentral:rRNA from 1 species
GGACGAACGCUGGCGGCGUGCCUAAUACAUGCAAGUCGAACGGUCUUUCUAUGGAAGCUUGCUUCCACUGAGAAGAUAGUGGCGAACGGGUGAGUAACACGUGGGUAACCUGCCCAUAAGAGGGGGGAUAACAUCCGGAAACGGGUGCUAAUACCGCAUAGUUUCUUGAUCGCAUGAUUGAGAAAGGAAAGACGGCCUUUGUGCUGUCGCUUAUGGAUGGACCCGCGGCGUAUUAGUUAGUUGGUGAGGUAACGGCUCACCAAGACGAUGAUACGUAGCCGACCUGAGAGGGUGAUCGGCCACAUUGGGACUGAGACACGGCCCAAACUCCUACGGGAGGCAGCAGUAGGGAAUCUUCCGCAAUGGACGAAAGUCUGACGGAGCAACGCCGCGUGAGUGAAAGAAGGUUUUCGGAUCGUAAAACUCUGUUGUCAGAGAAGAACAAGUUGGAGAGUAACUGCUCCAGCCUUGACGGUAUCUGACCAGAAAGCCACGGCUAACUACGUGCCAGCCGCCGC